rnacentral:lncRNA from 1 species
UGGCACGUUAUUUAAUUGUCAGCCAUUGUUACCAUUAAUGCUAAUUAAUGCUAGUUUGACUAUCUGAGGGCAUCUUUGAGAAGCAUUUGAUAGACUUCAAUAUUGGCUGUACUAGAGAAUUUAAAACCUUUUUGGAAAAUGAAAAACGAAACCUUCAGGGUUUCCAUUAGGAUGGAACGGAAAAUAUGGUGCUGUACAAUGUGACGGUCGGGAGUAGGCUACAGUACUAUGAGAAACCACGGGUUUGGAGCGAGUAGUCGUGCUGCACUUCGCUCCGCAGGUUCCCUUGGAGAGUUCAUCAAUGAGCUUGAUAAGUUCCUUUCCUGAGGAUGGCUCACCUCUCACAGUUCUGGACCAUUUCCGGAGACCUUCUCCCUUACCUCACCUCGCUCAUCAACUCAUCCUUGACCGCUUGCUACGUCCCUUCCGUCUUCAAGAGAGCGAGAGUUGCACCCCUUCUGAAAAAACCUACACUCGAUCCCUCCGAUGUCAACAACUACAGACCAACUCAUCCUGCUGCUGAUGACGACGAUGACCUUGACACCAGCGUCAGUAGUACAGAGCCUGUAGACCCAUUGGAUGAAUGCUUUCAGACUGGAAUAAGCUCAAGCUCAACAUCAUCUGACUUUGAAACAAGCCAGGACAGCCAAAGGAGACUUGCAGUACAAAUCAAAGCAUUGGGAAGUGAAGAAAGUGUACGAGAGGCUUGUCCACCUGGCUGUGGAGUGCAGAAAGGACCAGACGGUUGUCUACAAGGAGCCUGAGUCACAGCUCCCCAAACCCAACAUCCCUUCCAACAUCGCCACAGCACCAAAGCCUGCGAAAACAGCUUCCAUUACGCAGCACAAGAAGAGGUUCACCAGUUGAAGAACAUUCUGGAACCUGCUUGGAACAUUCAACCAACACAACACCUUAUUCAGUUAAACUCUUGUUGUAGUAUAAUAUUGUAUGUUCAUUACUGCAUUGUGCUAUAUAUAUAUAGCUGUUGUACAUAUGUAUAUAAUGGUGUCGUAUGUGAUAUUUUGUACAAGUGUACUGACAAGUGACUAAAUGGAAUUCCAGCUGUAUCAGAAACCAAUAAAGUGUUGGAUCAAUUCAUUGUGAUCCCUUACGAAAAAAGAUUGCAGUCAGAAUGCAGUAUAACUGUGGUACACUGCAGUAUAACUGUAGUUAGA